rnacentral:lncRNA from 10 species
GCAUGUUGCUUUCCUGGAAGACUGAUUCAGGUGGCCUGGCUAUGCUGAUGGUUUCUAAAGGGAAGAAGUAGGAAGUAGGUCGUGAUUGUCCCAAGACAACACCUGGUUAUAUAGUGAUAAGAACACCAGCCUUGAAGACAAACUACUUCAGUUCAAAUCUCAAUUCUAACUAGUUGUGUUACUUUAGCAAGUCACUCACCCUCUCUGGACCUCAGUUUCCCCAUUUGAAACAUGAAGGAGUUCAAGGAUCAUUUCUGCUCUAAUGUAUUAGGAUUCUGUAUGUCUAAUUCAGUGUUUUAAAUAACCCCUUUAUUGUAAAACUAAUACAUGUCUAUUGCCAAAUAUUUGAAAAAUAUCAAAAGGAGUAAAUAAGGAAGUAAAAACCGCUGUCAAUAGCACUCACCCAGAAGAACCACUGUUGACAUUUGGGUGAAUAUUCUUCUAGUCCUCUUUACAGCUAUGGAUAAUUUUUACCAAAAAUUAUCAGAACAUAUAUUCCAUUUUGUAAUGUGCUUUCUCACUUAAUAUGUUAGCAGACUUUUUACAUCAUCAGUGUUCUUCAAGAGCAUGAUUCUAAUCUCUGUGGAAGGUUGAAUCAUAAUUCAUUUAAACAAUCCCCAUUGGAUAUUUAGGUUAGUUCUAUUUUUUAGCAUAAGUAAGGCUUCGACAACCAGCCUUUAUACAAAUCUGUACCCACAUCUCUACAUUUUUCCCCUUAGGUUAAAUUGUAAAUUUUUUUUUUUUUUUUUUGAGACAGUGUCUCCCUCCAUUACCCAGGCUGGAGUGCAGUCGUGCGAUCGUAGCUCACUGCAGCCUCAAACUCCUGGGCUCAAACCAUCCUCCCGCUUUAGCCUCCCCGUGUAGCUGGGGAUACAGGUGUACACCACCAAACCUGGCCAAAACUUUUAAAUGUAUCACCAAAUUGCCCUCCAAGUGAAGUUACACAUGUGUACACUCUCAUGAGUAACGUUUGAGUGGCUAUUUCCCCAUGAUCUCUCCAACACUGGUUAUUGUGGUUUUUUAAAAGACCUUGCCAAUGUCAUAGGUAAAAAAAUAGCAUAUCAUUGUUUGAAUCUAAUGUUAUUUUCAUUAUACUGUUUUAUUUCUGGUAGAAUGUAAAAUUGCAUACAUACUAUUUUUACAACUUUAUAAAAAUACAUGGAAC